GGAAGGUUGGCUUUGGACGGGAAUCCGCGCCAACCCGGUCAGGUCGGGAACGAAGCAGCCGUAACGAGGUUUUUUCGGGUCAGGGUUCAGCCUUCCACU
rnacentral:SRP_RNA from 1 species